rnacentral:lncRNA from 1 species
GGGAGAUGACCGGUGGCUCGUGACGGUCCCACGGGCAAAAUCUUCCAUCGCCCGGGGCUGAGACUUGUCAAACUGCCCUCUACGGUCACCCGGAAAGUAGGAGGCUUUUUCUGCAGAGGGAAAAAAAUCAAAAAGAGCCGUUCCAUCCCCCCUCCAAGGACUGGGUUUGAAUUGCUUUUCAUCUGCAGUGGCUGUGAUUCAGCGUCCCUCUUAGCAGCAGGCACUGACAGAGGCAGGAGAGGAAAAAAGAAAGAAAGAAAGAGAAAACACAGCAAAUGAAUCAAACGGACCAGGUAGCAGGCAAGAGUGUGGUUAUCGUUGGACCAGGAUUCAGGAUCUGACCGAGUAGCUGACUCUUAAUCCAGUUUGUGUUGAUCACCAGGAGGAUCUGGACCUCAGUGUUAUCACAUCUAAAGCUAUAAUCACAUCCCUGUUAAGCCUUCCUGAGAUCACACCAAAUGUCCUUGAUGGGAAUUGUAAACAACCCUUACUUCUGGUUUCUAAUGAUAUUCCAGGAAAGGAGCCUAACUAGAGUCAGUGAGUAUUCAUGCACCUCAAACCCUGUGACAUAAUAAGAUGUGAUUUUUAAGAAAACAACUUGAGAGGAUGGAUUCAGAAAAGAGGCAGAUCCAAG